rnacentral:lncRNA from 1 species
AAAAUCAUAACUCAAACGAAAUCUGUCAAAACCUAAUCUAAAAUAGCGAACGAACUUUAUCGUUUUCUUACAGCUUAAACUUUUAGAGUAAUCAGUUGUUAAUCCCACAAGGCUUUACCGUCAUUAAAUUCAACUUCACAGCUCUGCUUAGAACUUAAUCGGUGUAAAAUUUUCUAGUGUGAUCAUAAAGGAGUUUGAUUUUUGCUCCUUAAUAGCAUAUUUCACCUAUAAGAUAAUUUAUCUUAUCCGAAAAAUGACUUAAAGGUCGAAUAUAGUAUCUGAUUAGACAUCUGAUCACACUUUUCAUCUACCAAAUGUACAAAUCUCUCAAGUAAAUUAUAAAAAUACACCGAACAGAAUAAUCAUGCAUCCGA